AUAAACUUUUACGCAAUCAUAAUUAUUAUAAAAAUGAUGUAGUUUAUGUGCAACAAAGAAAAUGACAUGCUAAUUCUAUGAAAAAGAAGUUAAAUGAUUAAGCAAAAAAAAAAAAAGAUUUUAAAAUCAAGUCACAGUGUUUUAUUUCCUAGCAAUGAUUUAACUGGGGAUACAAGUAUUAAUGAUAUUGUUGCCAGCAUACCUGCCUCCAUUCCAUCUAAGAACAUAGUGGACGUGAAAGUCAAAUUAACAACUUUGUCUUCUGUCCUUGUUGUAAAGGUUUUUGUUUCUGGUAUACGUACUCCUUUUUGAUCCUUUUCCACUUUGUAAUUGUGAUUUCCCUUGCCUCCCAUUCUUAUAUCUCCUCCUUUUUGUCUAAAAUGUCUUUAAACUGUAGUUUUUUGUGUGUUUGUAAUAUAAGAUGUAUAAUUUGUUUCCACAUCUGACACCAGUGUACUUUAACUAGUCUUUCUGCUCUGUUCUUAGAUUGCUAUAUAAGAGUGAAUAAAAUAGUAAAAUCAAUACAAAUCUUAUAUAUAUAUUGUUUACUAAUUAAGUAAUGUUAUUUUAAG